rnacentral:rRNA from 1 species
GGAAACUGAGAAUAAUACCCGAUAGAACAUUAUGCCUGGAAUGGUUUAUGUUUCAAAUAAUUUAUUGCCGUAGGAUGGGACUGCGGCCUAUCAGUUUGUUGGUGAGGUAAUGGCCCACCAAGACUAUUACAGGUACGGGCUCUGAGAGGAGUAGCCCGGAGAUGGGUACUGAGACACGGACCCAGGCCCUAUGGGGCGCAGCAGGCGAGAAAACUUUGCAAUGUGCGAAAGCACGACAAGGUUAAUCCGAGUGGUUUCUGCUAAAGGAACCCUUUGUCAGUCCUAGAAACACUGAUGAAUAAGGGGUGGGCAAGUUCUGGUGU